UCCUCAGGGUGCACUUCUUAUUAACA
rnacentral:piRNA from 1 species